AAAUGAGGUAAGUCUGGAGAUUGUAAAGAAAUACAUAUGUAUGUAUCUUACUGCAAAAGUAUAUUGGAAAUGAAGGAAUUACUUUAUCACGUUUUUUUAACAAUUUUUUGGAAAUUGCCCGCCAAUAAUGAUAGUAAACAGAUGUAUUACAGACUUGGGAGAAUUCCGUUGAGAUUUAUUGUAUCACUGCGACACCCAACGCCAGGUGACUAUACCAAGUUACUCAAUAUGAAAUUCGAUAAUUAAUUUGUUGUCGCGAAUAUU